CACAACUGUGUUCACUAGCAACCUCAAACAGACACCAUGGUGCAUCUGACUCCUGAGGAGAAGUCUGCCGUUACUGCCCUGUGGGGCAAGGUGAACGUGGAUGAAGUUGGUGGUGAGGCCCUGGGCUGCUGGUGGUCUACCCUUGGACCCAGAGGUUCUUUGAGUCCUUUGGGGAUCUGUCCACUCCUGAUGCUGUUAUGGGCAACCCUAAGGUGAAGGCUCAUGGCAAGAAAGUGCUCGGUGCCUUUAGUGAUGGCCUGGCUCACCUGGACAACCUCAAGGGCACCUUUGCCACACUGAGUGAGCUGCACUGUGACAAGCUGCACGUGGAUCCUGAGAACUUCAGGCUCCUGGGCAACGUGCUGGUCUGUGUGCUGGCCCAUCACUUUGGCAAAGAAUUCACCCCACCAGUGCAGGCUGCCUAUCAGAAAGUGGUGGCUGGUGUGGCUAAUGCCCUGGCCCACAAGUAUCACUAAGCUCGCUUUCUUGCUGUCCAAUUUCUAUUAAAGGUUCCUUUGUUCCCUAAGUCCAACUACUAAACUGGGGGAUAUUAUGAAGGGCCUUGAGCAUCUGGAUUCUGCCUAAUAAAAAACAUUUAUUUUCAUU
rnacentral:lncRNA from 1 species